UUUUGAAAUUACGUUAGUUUAUAUCACUUUCCUGCUGAGUGUUAUUUAACAUAAUAGCUUGAUUGAAAUUAAUUAAUUUGCCUACUACACAAAUCACUUGAGAAAAUUAAAUAGACUACAUGAUUUGUAGUCUAUUUAAUUAUUAUUUUUUUGUAUAUGAGUGAUAUUAAAUUGGUAAUUUGAGACAUUGCGUAACAAAAAAGAGAUCUUGAGACCAGAAUACAAAGCAUUAGAACGUUCCUAUAAGAACCUAUUGCGUAGUAUGGAGAUAAUCCUUACUUACUCUGUAAUUAAAUCGGAUGUCAUAAAAUGAAAUUGACGUGAAAUCGAAAUCGUUAUCUAACUACUACUAAGCUCAUUUCGAAUCGUAUUUAUUUUCUUGAGGAAGGCAAAACUGAAUUUAUUGUGUUAUUUUACAAAAAUCUGAAUUCACAAGUUAAUGUAUAGCAAAGAAAGACGAGAUAAAUAUCAAGGUGUUUCAACACGCUUGCUUUGAUAUGGAGAUGAAGUAAAAUCGAAAUGAUAGCAAGUGAUUACGACCUCAGCAGCUAAACACCAAAAAAAUAAAUAAGGUUAUAUCGAAUAUGAAUGCCUGCAUGCAUGUAAAUUAUGAGUCGAAUAUUUGUGAUCCAGUUAGCAUUGGUAAUGACCUAUAUUAAUAGGUUUUAAUUCUCCAAAUAAUCUCUACAUAUAAUCUGCGAUAUACACCAAUACCACCCUUUAUCGAUCCUAGCAUCAAGCUUGGUGCAGAUUACUCGGAUGAUAUUUUAUUUAAAAAAUCGGUGUUUUUUAUAAACCUUGGGAAAAAUGUAACAAUUUCACAUCAAAAGUCAACCAAGCAUCCUCCCAGGACAGUGGAUGAAGUUGCGCAUGACGUAGUUGACUCAGUUAAAGACUUCGGGCACAAAGUAGGGGAUGGAGUACAAGAUUUCGGGCACAGAGUAGGGGAUGGAGUACAAGAUUUUGGUCACAAAGUAGGGGAUGAAAUGUACGAGAUUGGAAGCAAAGUAGGUGACGGGGUACAACAUGCGUGGCACCAAACAGUCGAUUGGUUUAAAGGCGUAUUUGGUUAGGUCGUAGAUGAGUCCCAUUAAUUUCCGGUUACCGUGACAUGUUUCAAUGAAGUUUAAUGUUUGUGCCUAUUUUUAUAUAGUGUUUUCUUUGUCUAAUCCUAAAAUGUCUAUUAUGGGCCAACCGCCACAUUUUGAAGUAUACAGUGUUGCAACAGUUGUGUGAGUGUACGACAUAGAAUGUGUACACUCUCUUCCAUACGUCGAUAAUAUUACGUUAUAUUAUAUAGGUACGUAUUAUGUGGUGGUUGCAAAAUGCUUGUAAUAAAUACUGGGUCUGCAUAAACAAGUCGGUUAACAUCUUGAAAAUGGAAAGGAAACGAACUAAACUAAACUGCGUUACACUUUAUUUUAUUUAUGCUAUUACACUCCUUGUUACUCCUACUAGGUAUGAUUUAAAAUCCCUUUUGAUUUUUAGAUCAAUUAAACUGUAAAAUAUAUUUAUACACAUUGAAUUCAGUAGUGUAUUAUUUAUCUUAAAAUUAGUUUAGAUAGUCAGAUAAAUUAAUAGCUAGGCCCGCUUCUUCGUUUGUAUGGUUUAAAUAGGCAUAAUUUCAUUGGUUUUGGGUAUGUGGUACUGUUAAUAGCACAACACACUAAUUUAUAUUUUACCUGCAAUACCUAAUGUUG